rnacentral:rRNA from 1 species
UGCGCAGGUGGGGAUGUAAGUCAGUGGUGAAAUGUUGCCGCUCAACGGUAAAAUUGCCAUUGAUACUGCAUCUCUUGAGUAUGGUUGGGGUAGGCGGAAUGUGUUGUGUAGCGGUGAAAUGCAUAGAUAUGACACAGAACACCGAUUGCGAAGGCAGCUUACUAAGCCAUAACUGACGCUGAGGCACGAAAGCGUGGGGAGCGAACAGGAUUAGCUACCCUGGUAGUCC